rnacentral:rRNA from 1 species
GACGAACGUUGGCGGCGUGCUUAAUACAUGCAAGUCAACUGAAGCAGUGGUAGCAAUAUCGCUGUGGAGGUGGCGCACGGGUGAGUAACACGUAGGUAAUCUGCCUUCAGGUCUGGCAUAACUCCGGGAAACCGGGGCUAAUAGCAGAUGAUGCAGCGGCUCGACAUCGAGACAGUUGUUAAAGCUAUGUCGCCUGAAGAUGAGCCUGCGUCUGAUUAGCUAGUUGGCGGGGUAACGGCCCACCAAGGCAACGAUCAGUAGCUGGUCUGAGAGGAUGAUCAGCCACACUGGAACUGAGACACGGUCCAGACUCGUACGGGAGGCAGCAGUAAGGAAGAUUGCUCAAUGGGAGAAAUACUGAAGCAGCAACGCCGCGUGAGGGACGAAGGGCUUUUGCUUGUAAACCUCUGUAGUGAGAGAAAAAAAUCCCAAUCUUUGGGACAUGAUGGUAUCUCAAAAGUAAGCCCCGGCUAACUACGUG